rnacentral:rRNA from 1 species
AUUGAACGCUGGCGGCAGGCCUAACACAUGCAAGUCGAACGAGUGGCGGACGGGUGAGUAAUGUCUGGGCAACUGCCCGAUGGAGGGGGAUAACUCCUGGAAACGGUAGCUAAUCCCGCAUACCAUCAGAUGUGCCCAGAUGGGAUUAGCUAGUAGGUGGGGUAACGGCUCACCUAGGCGACGAUCCCUAGCUGGUCUGAGAGGAUGACCAGGCACACUGGAACUGAGACACGGUCCAGACUCCUACGGGAGGCAGCAGUGGGACAUAUUGCACAAUGGGCGCAAGCUGGAUGCAGCCAUGCCGCGUGUGUGAAGAAGGCCUGCGGGUUGUAAAGCACUUGCAGCGAGGAGGCGUUACUCGCAGAAGAAUCACCGGCUAACUCCGCGCCAGCAGCCGCGGUAAUUC